GAUGAAGAACGUAGCGAAAUGCGAUACUUGGUGUGAAUUGCAGAAUCCCGUGAACCAUCGAGUCUUUGAACGCAAGUUGCGCCCGAAGCCAUUAGGCCGACGGCACGCCUGCCUGGGCGUCACACGUCGUUGCCCCCCCAUCUACUCCUUCGGGAUUGCGAGGGGCGGAUGAUGGCCUCCCGUGCGCCUCGUCGCGCGGUUGGCAUAAAUGCCAAGUCCUCGGCGACGCACGCCACGACAAUCGGUGGUUGCGAAACCUCGGUUGCCCGUCGUGUGCGGUCGUCGCGCAUCGAGGGCUCGAAAAAAUUGCCGGGCUCCGGCUCGGCUUUCAACGCGACCCCAGGUCAGGCGGGGUUACCCGCUGAAUUUAAGCAUAUCAAUAAGCGGAGGA
rnacentral:misc_RNA from 1 species